rnacentral:lncRNA from 1 species
CCUUAGAUUUAUGAUUUGAGAAAAACUGACUUUGUACCUCUCUGUAUUUAAGAGCACAAGCUGCUGAAGCGCUUAUUCCCUGAUCCUAAGGAAUGAGCUAAAUGAAGAAAGGAAUUGCAUGCUACACAGCCUUCUUUUUAUGGAUCAUAGCAGUGGCUCCUGGACUCCAGGAAUGGCUAGAAAAUAUUUUGAAAUCUUAUGGUUUCUCUGCUAUCAUCUGUGAAUAUCAAGUACAACUAGAAGUUUGCAGGAGCAGCACAGAAGGUAAUCUAUUUGGACUACUAUCGAGCACUUGACCUCGUUUUACCCUGGGGUAGUGAGAUUCCCAGACUAUGAAAGCGGUUCUAGGCUGUCAGUCUUCAGCAUCACUGGGUGCCAGCUUUCCUGAAGAGAGACCACCAGGACCACCUUGUUCAUGGUGUGCAGACCCUUCCUAUGUGAGUGUAGUCCAGCUGUGAGCACCACAGUGCUCAUAGGUCAGGGUCACUGGUGAGUUGUACAAUCAGCUUGACCUGGGUAAAAGGCUAUUAUUG